CCUACGGGAGGCAGCAGUGAGGAAUAUUGGUCAAUGGACGAGAGUCUGAACCAGCCAAGUAGCGUGAAGGAUGACUGCCCUAUGGGUUGUAAACUUCUUUUAUAAGGGAAUAAAACGAGCCACGUGUGCCUUUUUGCAUGUACUUUAUGAAUAAGGAUCGGCUAACUCCGUGCCAGCAGUCGCGGUAAUACGGAGGAUCCGAGCGUUAUCCGGAUUUUUUGGGUUUAAAGGGAGAGUAGAUGGGGUGUUAAGUCAGUUGUGAAAGUUUGCGGCUCAACCGUAAAAUUGCAAUUGAAACUGGCAGUCUUGAGUACAGUUGAGGUAGGCGGAAUGCGUGGUGUAGCGGUGAAAUGCUUAGAUAUCACGAAGAACCCCGAUUGCGAAGGCAGCUUACUAAACUGUGACUGACAUUGAUGCUCGAAAGUGUGGGUAUCAAACAGGAUUAGAUACCCGUGUAGUC
rnacentral:rRNA from 1 species